AACGAACGCUGGCGGCGUGCCUAAGACAUGCAAGUCGUGCGGAAAGGCUCCUUCCGGGAGGUACUCGAGCGGCGCACGGGUGAGUAACACGUGGGUAACCUACCUGAGGGUCUGGGAUAACUCCGGGAAACUGGGGCUAAUACCAGAUGAGACCACAGCGUCUUCGGGCGCAGCGGUCAAAGAUGGCCUCUCCUUGGAAGCUAUCGCCUACAGAUGAGCCCGCGUCCCAUUA
rnacentral:rRNA from 1 species